AAAUUGACGGGAACCCGCACAAGCGGUGGAGUAUGUUGUUUAAUUCGAAGAUACACGAAGAACCUUUACCAGGUCUUGACAUACCAUUGACAGGCACAGAGAUGUGCUCUCCUUCGGGCAAUGGAUACAGGUGGUGCAUGGUUGUCGUCAGCUCGUGCCGUGAGGUGUUGGGUUAAGUCCCGCAACGAGCGCAACCCUCAUUGUUAGUUACUACCAUUCAGUUGAGGACUCUAAUGAGACUGCCAACGAUAAGUUGGAGGAAGGUGGGGAUGACGUCAAAUCAUCAUGCCCUUUAUGACCUGGGCUACAAACGUACUACAAUGGCCAAUACAAAGAGAUGCGAAGCGGUGACGUGGAGCGAACCUCAGAAAGUUGGUCUCAGUUCAGAUUGAAGUCUGCAACUCGACUUCAUGAAGGCGGAAUCGCUAGUAAUCGCGGGUCAGCAGACCGCGGUGAAUACGUUCCCGGGUUUU
rnacentral:rRNA from 1 species